AUGGCUAUUUGCUUUGUAAUCUCUCAUGAAGCCGAUGAAAAAGUACUAUGCCAGCCUGCUUCUUGUGGUGAUCUCCAUGACAUCAGAUACCCUUUUCACUUGAAAAUCAAUAGUUCUGAUCAGAAUUGUCUCAGCUCUCCAGCUGAACUUACAUGUGAUGAUCAUAAUCGCACCAUUCUGAAUCUUUACAAUGGCGCAUACUAUGUCAGGGCAAUCAACUACGACAACAGUACAAUCCAAGUUGUUGAUCCUGGACUGCUAAGGGAUUCUUGUCCCUUCAGACCACUCUACCUCUUAACAGGUUAUAACUUUAGUCAUAUGGAUACAUUUCAGCCAAUUGGGGCUUACGAUUUUGUAGCUUUCUUGGAUUGCUUGCGGCCAGUGAAGUCUCAAGACUAUGCAAAACUCAAUUGCAGUAGCUCAUCGUCUACAACUUCAUAUUCUUAUAUUAUGGUUGGAUAUAGUGCGGGGGAUCUUCCUCCGUUUUGUAAUAUGGUCACAGCCAGUCUUGCUAUGCUACAACAACCUUGGGGGUACCGCUCAUUUUCUGUCACUCCUCAUCAAUUAAAAAGGGGUUUUGAUCUUUCAUGGGGGAAAUAUAUCUGUGAAAAGCAUUGCCUGGCAAGUAAUGCUUUCUGUUCCUUUUCAAAUUACCGGUGGGAGUGCCAUGACAACUGCUAUUCACCAUUUACAACCAUCUAUUGUUUCAUUCCCGUCUUCGAGUUGACUGCAUGCAGCAUGGUCGUACGAACAGUAAUUGGCAUUAUUGUGUUCUUGGGAUUUUGGAGUUACAGGUUGUAUUCCAAAAUGUUUGUAAAGGAUGAUACAAUCGAAGAAUUCCUGCACUCAUACAAGAAUCUGAUGCCAAGAAGGAAUUCAUAUUUGGAUAUCAAAAAGAUGACGAUUGAUUUUAAAGAUAAACUUGGUCAGGGAGGUUUUGGUUCUGUUUUCAAAGGAGAGCUGUCAAAUGGUCAUCUUGUUGCUGUAAAGAUGUUGAGUGGUUCCAAAGGUAAUGGACAAGAUUUCAUUAAUGAAGUUGCGACAAUAGGAAGAAUCCAUCAUGUCAAUGUGGUGCAACUAAUAGGAUUUUGUUCAGAGGGAUCAAAAAGAGCUCGUUUAUGACUUCAUGCCUAAUGGCUCCCUAGACAACUAUAUUUUUCCGAAGAAAGAAAAAGCUUUUAGUCUAAGUUGGGAUAGGAUGCAAGACAUAGCUAUGGGGGUGGCUCAUGCAAUUGAAUAUCUACACCAGGGAUGUCGUAUGCAAAUUCUACAUUUCGAUAUUAAACCGCACAACAUUCUUCUUGAUGCAAACUUUAAUUCAAAAAUAUCAGACUUUGGACUUGCUAGGUUUUACCCUAAAGAUGUUACCAGUGUUUGUUAUACAAACAUUGGAGGCACAAUAGGAUACAUAGCUCCAGAAUUGUUCUACAGAACCAUUGGAAGCGUGUCAGACAAGGCUGAUGUUUAUAGCUUUGGAAUGUUGUUACUGGAAAUGGCAGGUCGGAGAAAGAACUUGGAUGCAGAUGCAGAAAAUUCAAGCCAAAUAUACUUCCCUUCCUGGAUUUUUGAACAGCUAGAAAAGGGAGUAAGCAUUGAAAUUGAGGAUGUCUGCGAGUCUGAUAAGAAGAUAGCCAAGAAGAUGAUCAUGGUGGCACUGUGGUGCAUACAAUUGACCCCUGUCGAUCGUCCUUCCAUGAGCAAAAUUUUAGAGAUGCUUGAAGGUGAAGUUGAAGACUUGCAAAUGCCUCCCAAACCUUUCUUUUGUCCACAAGAUAUGCCAACAGUGGAUCUACCUGGUGAAUCAGAUUCUGAAGAGGAGGUAUGUACCCUGCAACAUUGUGCUAUAGAAAUGGCUUCCUGUAAUAAUGUCAUUCAGUAAACUUAUUUGUAUGUGUAAACUUCUGCUGUAAUGUGGAUUUGGCAAUGAAACUAAUUAGUACACAUGAAGCGAUUAGGAAUCUAGGAUUGCGUCUCUUAAGGGCGGGUCCUCUUUCUAGAAUUUUUCUUGAUACAGACUCAAAGUUAAUUAUUGUGCUCUACAAAGUUACCUGAUUGCAGGAUUAAUCUCUUCCUCAAUAUUUAUUUGUCUUUUGGUCUUGAUCGCUCCUCGCGCGUCACAGAUCGUUUUU